rnacentral:lncRNA from 1 species
AAUCUGCUGCAGGAGAGAGUUAGAACCAUCUUCGUAUUUAAUGGGCCUCCGAAAGCAUCCUCUAUUCUCUUUGCAGAAAGGAAACCCAUCCCUGCCAUUCUAGUCACUGGGUCCAGUGGCUCAAACCUUAUCUCUACGCUGGCCUGUGGAUUUCGGCAUGUUCGCUCUGACUUCCCAAUACUCUGCCUUUCUUCAUGAAGAGAACAUGGAAGAAGAAAGAACUGCUGAGUUACAGAAAAACAUGACACAGGUGAGUAAUAGCUAAUAAUUCUCCAAAGGAAUAUUUAAAUUCCACCAUAUCAUCAAUCUCUUAAUUUUUUUUUUUUUUUUUGAAGGGCCGCACCCAUGGCACAUAGAAGUUCCCAGGCUAGGGUUUGAAUUGGAGCUACAGCUGCCAGCCUAUGCCACAGCCACAGCAAUGUGGGAUCCAAGCCCCGUCUGUGACCUACACCACAGCUCACAGCAAAGCCAGAUCCUUAAUCCACUGAGGGAGGCCAGGGAUUGAACCCACAUCCUCAUGGAUACUAGUUGGGUUCUUUAACCGCUGAGCCUGAUGGGAACUCCAAUCUCCUAAUUAAUUUCUGUUUUAACUCAAUUCUGUCAUUUUAGUGUGAAAGUGGUCAUAGGCACUAUAUAAACAAAUUUUUUGUGUAUUCUGAUGAAGCUUUACUUACAAAACAGAUAGGAGGCCAAAUUUGCAGACCACUGGCCUAGAGUCUAAGAAAACAUGGCUAGCUCUGGGCCUGGGUUGAAUGUUGUGCUUCUGCAGACUCCUGGGCCCCAGGUUUGUGUGGGGCAGGAGAAGAAACACUCCCCGUUCUUUCAGUGUGUUUUUAUUUAUCAAAGAAGUUCCCAUUGUGGCUCAGCAGAAAUGAAUCUGACUAGCAUCGAAGGUUCGAUCUCUGGCCUCACUCAGUGGGUUAAAGAUCCAGCAUUGCCAUGAGCUGUGGUAUAGGUAGAAAACAGCUUGAAUCUGGCACUGUGGAUGUGGUGAGGGCCAGUGGCUACAGCUCUGAUUUGACCCCCAGCCUGGGAACCUCCAUAUGCUGUGGGUGUGGCUCUAAAAAGACAAAAGACAAAAAAAAAAAAAAAGAAAAGAAAAAGAAAGAAAGAAACCUUAUCGAGAUUUGACCCAGUGUUUUGUGUUGUGGUGAUUGCUAUAGUAGGUAAUGAGGGAGCGGAUGAAAUUGUUUCUGAAACAAGGAAUUUCGGGUGUCAAUGUGUAUUUCAUUUCUAGAGUAUUUCUGUCAUUUCUGCUUUAUGCCCUGGAUGUUCUAGAUCAUCGAAAGACUGGAAUUAAUCACUGUCAAACUGUGGAGAGAUAAAUUUAUUAUCUCAGAAGUCGUGGUAAAUUUGUGAGAUAGGGUGUUCCUAUUGUGGCUCAGGUUAAGACCCUGACAUAGUAUCAGUGAGGAUACGGGUUCAAUCUCUGGCCUUACUCAAUGGGUUAAGGAUCCAGCAUUGCCAUAAACUGCAGCAUAGAUUGCAGAUGCAGCUUGGUUCUGGUGUUGUGAUGGCUGUGGCAUAGUCUUGCAGCUGCAGCUCCAGUUCAAGCCCUAGCCCAGCAACUUCCAUAUGCCCCAGGUGCAGCC